rnacentral:rRNA from 1 species
UACGUAGGGGGCGAGCGUUGUCCGGAUUUACUGGGCGUAAAGCGCGUGUAGGCGGCUGCUUAAGUCGGGUGUGAAAGCCCGGGGCUCAACCCCGGGAUGCCGCCCGAGACUGGGCGGCUUGAGGUCGGAAGAGGGGAGUGGAAUUCCAGGUGUAGCGGUGAAAUGCGUAGAGAUCUGGAGGAACACCCGUGGCGAAGGCGGCUCCCUGGUCCGAUUCCUGACGCUGAGACGCGAAAGCGCGGGGAGCGAACGGG